UAACACGUAUGCAACCUACCCUUUACUGGAGGAUAGCCCAGAGAAAUCUGGAUUAAUACUCCAUAGUAUCAUGAAUUCGCAUGUUUUCAUGAUUAAAGCUCCGGCGGUAAAGGAUGGGCAUGCGGCCCAAUUAGCUUGUUGGUGAGGUAACGGCUCACCAAGGCUACGAUGGGUAGGGGGUCUGAGAGGAUGAUCCCCCACACUGGUACUGAGACACGGACCAGACUCCUACGGGAGGCAGCAGUGAGGAAUAUUGGGCAAUGGACGCAAGUCUGACCCAGCCAUGCCGCGUGCAGGAUGACGGCGCUACGCGUUGUAAACUGCUUUUAUAUAGGAAGAAACCCCCGCUCGUGAGCGGGGCUGACGGUACUAUACGAAUAAGGACCGGCUAACUCCGUGCCAGCAGCCGCGGUAAUACGGAGGGUCCAAGCGUUAUCCGGAUUUAUUGGGUUUAAAGGGGUCCCGUAGGGCGGGGUAUUAAAGUCCAGUGGGUGAAAUCCUACAGCUCAGACUGUAGGGAUGUGCCAAUGAAAACUGAUACUCUUGAAGUUCAAUUGAAGUUGGGCGGAAUAUGUCAUGUAGCGGUGAAAUGCUUAGAUAUGACAUAGAACACCGAUCGCGAAGGCAGCUAACUAAGUUGAUACUGACGCUCAGGGACGAAAGCGUGGGGAGCGAACAGGAUUUAGGAUGCCCUGGUAGUCCACGCCGUAAAACGAUGAUCACUCGAUAUUGGGCUUUUGGUUCAGUGUCCAAGCGAAA
rnacentral:rRNA from 1 species